GAUGAACGCUAGCGGGAGGCCUAAUACAUGCAAGUCGAACGGUUCCACUUCGGUGGGAUAGUGGCGCACGGGUGAGUAACGCGUACGCAAUUUGCCCUCAAUUGGGGAAUAGCCCUGGGAAACUGGGAGUAAUACCCCAUAGAGUUAUGUAGCUGCAUGGCGAGAUAACUAAAGUUCCGGCGAUUGAGGAUGAGCGUGCGUCUGAUUAGCUAGUUGGUAGGGUAACGGCCUACCAAGGCGAUGAUCAGUAGGGGGCGUGAGAGCGUGGCCCCCCACACGGUACGUGAGACACGGACCCGACCUCCUACGGGAGGCAGC
rnacentral:rRNA from 1 species